GACGAACGCUGGCGGCGUGCCUAAUACAUGCAAGUCGAACGGUCUUUUCUAUGGAAGCUUGCUUCCACUGAGAAGAUAGUGGCGAACGGGUGAGUAACACGUGGGUAACCUGCCCAUAAGAGGGGGAUAACAUCCGGAAACGGGUGCUAAUACCGCAUAGUUUUCUUGAUCGCAUGAUUGAGAAAGGAAAGACGGCCUUUGUGCUGUCGCUUAUGGAUGGACCCGCGGCGUAUUAGUUAGUUGGUGAGGUAAUGGCUCACCAAGACGAUGAUACGUAGCCGACCUGAGAGGGUGAUCGGCCACAUUGGGACUGAGACACGGCCCAAACUCCUACGGGAGGCAGCAGUAGGGAAUCUUCCGCAAUGGACGAAAGUCUGACGGAGCAACGCCGCGUGAGUGAAGAAGGUUUUCGGAUCGUAAAACUCUGUUGUCAGAGAAGAACAAGUUGGAGAGUAACUGCUCCAGCCUUGACGGUAUCUGACCAGAAAGCCACGGCUAACC
rnacentral:rRNA from 1 species